rnacentral:rRNA from 1 species
AAGAGCCAGACAGAACAGGGGUGUUCAGAGGUCUCCCGUCAGUCGAGGGCACACACCCUCUGCAAGUGCCACCCCGAACCAAAUCUCCUCCGCUGCAACCGCAAGCAGCGACAGCGCCGGCGACUGAGGAGAGGAGGGGCUGCUGACAGCGGGAUCGAGCGAUGACAGCUGUCCGGCGGCAGGCGGCGGCGAAGCGGGGCGGAGGCGCGGCCGGAAAGAGCUUAUGGCUGGCGGCGGACGGGAGCAAGAGGUGGGGGGAGAAGUUCUUCCUGCUAUACACGCCCUUCUGGCUCACGCUCUGCCUCGGCGUCGUCGUCCCCUUUAAGCUCUACGAGAGUUUCACGGAGCUGGAAUAUUUGGUUCUUGGAUUGGUGUCAACCGUGCCUGCCUUUCUCAUCCCUCUGUUCCUCGUAGGAAAGGCAGAUAGUAUUAGAAGUUUAAAAGAUCGUUACUGGGUCAAGGCUAAUGUUUGGAUUAUAAUUUUCAGUUAUGUCGGUAACUACUUUUGGACACAUUACUUUUUCACUGUUCUUGGUGCAUCAUAUACUUUUCCAUCAUGGAGGAUGAAUAAUGUACCUCAUACAACAUUUUUCCUGACCCAUGCCUGCUUCUUAUUUUAUCACAUGGCAUCAAAUAUGACACUUCGUAGAUUACGUCACUCUACAGCUCACCUGCCACAAUCUAUUCGGUGGUUGUUUGAAGCCGCGUGGAUUUUAGCACUCUCAUACUUCAUUGCAUACUUGGAGACCCUAGCCAUCGCAAAUUUUCCAUACUACGAAUUCGUCGAUCGGGACAUAAUGUACACAGUUGGAUCAUUGUUUUAUGCGAUUUACUUCCUCGUCAGCUUUCCGAUGUUCUCAAGGAUCGAUGAAAAGGCAGAGAAGUGGGACCUUCCCAGGGUGGCCGUCGACGCUUUGGGCGCAGCCAUGCUCGUGACGAUAAUACUCGAUUUAUGGCGCAUAUUUCUGGGGCCAAUCAUACCCAUCCCUGAAUCAAGACGGUGCGGCCAGCCGGGGCUUGCAUGGUUCCAUGCGCAGAAUGAAAGCGUCUAAUCCAGGAACAACAUGAAUUCUUCUGUUCCCACAUGUACCGUCGACCCCCGCCAUUGCCGGUGUCCUUCAAGACUGUUGGCCUCUCCAUUGGAGGGAUGAAAACUGCUGAUUAAUGGAUCGAUUUGUUGUCUGCAUGUAGUGUUUGCUUCGUGCGAAUAGCGAAUUGGUAAUUUGUAAGUUCAGCCUGAUCUUAGAACCUGUUUUGAAUAAGCUAGUGGCAAUGAAGAUUUGAUGUCAACCAGAAAGUGAUUCUUGACGCAGCACGGUCUGAGUGCGGCUCGACACAGUAGCCUUCGGGGUGCUUGGGGGCUUGUCUAAUACUCGGGUCUCUUUUGGUUGACAGGAAUCUUAUAGGAAUUCUAAAGGAUAGGAAUUUUAUAGAAAAAAAUAAUCCUUUGAAGCCUUUUGGUUUGUAGGAAUGAGUUUCUAUUUCU